AAGUCACAAGUCUAAUAAGUUCUUAUCCUCUCUUGCUGACAACUUCAUCUACCAAAAGGUGGAGGAGAAAACUAGAGGACUGGCUAUCCUCAAUCUAAUUCUUACCAACAGAGAGGAAAUGGUUGAGGAAAUCAGAGUCUCUGGGACCUUAGGAGGCAGUGACCAUGCUAUCCUUAAAUUCUGGAUAAUAAGGGAAGGAAAGCCUGAGAGGACUCAGACUUCAAAGUUGGACUUCAGACGGGNGGAUUUUGAUGGACUCAGAAGGAGGGUAGGAAGGAUAAAAUGGUUGAAUGUACUAAAGGAUAGAAAUGUCCAAGAAGGAUGGGAUACUUUGCGAAAUGCAAUACUAGAAGCACAGUCUUUAACAAUUCCUCAAAGAAAGAAGAACGGGAAGCAUCUAAAGAGACCAGGGUGGAUAAACCCAAAACUUAAAAACUUGCUAAGGAGGAAAAAAGAAAUGUUCAAGAAAUGGAAGGAGGGGAAUAUAUCUAAAGAAGAAUAUAAUGUAGUCUGCACAAACUGCAGGGCAAGUAUCAGAAAAGCUAAAGCUAGAAAUGAAUUGAGGCUUGCAAGAGAGACUAAAAACAAUAAAAAGGGGUUUUGGGGAUAUGUUAAAAGCAAAAGAAAAGUUAAAGAGGCUAUAGGAUGUUUACAGAGUGAAAAUGGUGAACUGAUAAAAAAUGAUAUUGAGAAGGCUGAGCUUCUGAACUCCUAUUUUGUAUCUGUUUUCUCUAAGAAAGAUAGCGUAGCAGCGACUGACCUUCAUUGUGCUAGUGAAGGAAUAAGAGAAUCAAAGCACAUAAUCGAAACAGAGAGGGUAAGGGAAUACUUAGCUAAUUUAAAUGAAUUUAAGUCUCCAGGUCCAGAUGGAUUANAUCCUAGGGUACUGAAGGAAUUAGCAGGGGUUAUUGCUGAACCACUUGCUGUAAUCUUUGAAAAUUCAUGGAGAACAGGAGAAGUCCCAGAUGAUUGGAGAAGGGCAAACGUUGUCCCUAUUUUCAAAAAAGGGAAGAAGGCGAACCCAGGGAACUACAGGCCUGUUAGCCUGGCUUCAAUACCAGGAAAGAUUUUUGAACAAAUUAUUAAACAACAUGUAUGCCAGCAUUUGGACGGGAAUUCAGUAAUUAACCGUAGUAAACAUGGGUCUGUAACAAACAAGUCAUGUCAGACUAAUCUAAUUUCAUUCUAUGACA
rnacentral:lncRNA from 1 species